GUGCAAAAAUGAGCUCCUGAAUGAAUUCCGAUUGCACCACUCACAUCCGAUGAGCAUGACACAAAUGGAAAAGAUCUUCUCGGAGUUGGUGUUGGGGGAGACGUUGCCAAAGCCCACGCUGGUCAGACUGCUGAAGGUCCAGUGAAGAAGACUAAAAUCAUCAUUUGAGCCAAGUCCUUUGACAUAUCCCGAUCCGAAGAUGAGCAGGUCAAAGGGGAUGGCGGCCACCAUGUCUAUGAGAAACCAGCCUUUAAAGUAGUGGAUGGCUAUCUUGCCCGGAU